rnacentral:rRNA from 1 species
AAUAUUGGACAAUGGGCGCAAGCCUGAUCCAGCCAUGCCGCGUGAGUGAUGAAGGCCUUAGGGUUGUAAAGCUCUUUCGCGCGCGACGAUAAUGACGGUAGCGUGAGAAGAAGCCCCGGCUAACUUCGUGCCAGCAGCCGCGGUAAUACGGAGGGAGCUAGCGUUGUUCGGAAUUACUGGGCGUAAAGCGCGCGUAGGCGGCUUUGUAAGUUAGAGGUGAAAGCCCGGGGCUCAACUCCGGAACUGCCUUUAAGACUGCAUCGCUUGAAUCCGGGAGAGGUGAGUGGAAUUCCGAGUGUAGAGGUGAAAUUCGUAGAUAUUCGGAAGAACACCAGUGGCGAAGGCGGCUCACUGGACCGGUAUUGACGCUGAGGUGCGAAAGCGUGGGGAGCAAAC